GUGGAUUAGAUACCCGGGUAGUCCUGGCCGUAAACGAUGUAGACUCGUCGUUUGGGAGGUAAAACUCCUGAGUGACUAAGCAAACGCAAUAAGUCUACCGCCUGGGGAGUACGGUCGCAAGAUUAAAACUCAAAGGAAUUGACGGGGGCCCGCACAAGCAGCGGAGCGUGUGGUUUAAUUCGAUGAUACACGAAGAACCUUACCAGGGUUUGACAUACAAGUGGUAGUGAAGGGAAACCGGAACGACCCCUCGGGGAGCUUGAACAGGUGCUGCAUGGUCGUCGACAGCU
rnacentral:rRNA from 1 species